GACCGCUCGGCCACGCUACCUUAUGAGAAAGCAUUCCGUGGGCCAUUUUCGGCAACUUUUUCUUUAAACGUCUCUUUUUUCAAAGAACACUUAAGGUGUCUGGCCCUCUUUAAAAAUCGCUGCUCAUAAUCAGGCUCUGAAGCCUGCGAGUUUGGUCAAGGAAAGCAAAAGCGGCAGGGUUUGGAAGAGACCGGAGGCAAGCAGUGUCACUUGUCCAGUCUUUUCGCUUUGGCAUAGCAGCCACAAGUGCCUUCUAAAAUGCUGUCUUGGCAGCAGUGGGAUUCGAACCCACGCCUCCGAAGAGACUGGAGCCUUAAUCCAGCGCCUUAGACCGCUCGGCCACGCUACCUUAUGAGAAAGCAGUCCGUGGGCCAUUUUCGGCAACUUUUUCUUUUAACGUCUCUUUUUUCAAAGAACACUUAAGAUAUCUGGCCUUCUUUAAAAGCUCUGCUGGCAGCGGUGGGAUUUGAACCCACGCCUCCGAAGAGACUGGAGCCUAAAUCCAGCGCCUUAGACCCCUCGGCCACGCUACCCUUUCGUGGGCUGUCUCUUGCCCAUAUUUUUAUUCAUAAAUAGGGAAAACUUUGGAUGGGGAGCUUCAUCGUCAGGCUCUGAAGCCCAUCGAGUUCGGCCAAGGAAAGCAAAAGCGGCAGGGUUUGGAAGAGACCGGAGGCAAGCUGUGUCACUUCUCCAGUCUUUUCGCUUUGGCAUAGCAGCCACAAGUGCCUUCUAAAAUGCAGUAAGAGUGAGAAGAGUGAGAAUCAGAGGAGGCCGAGGGAGAGGACGUGGAGGUGAAGAAGUUGGAGGAAGGAGCUAGAAGAGGACAAGGAGGCAGAGGGAGAGGAUGUGGAGUUGAAGAGCAUACCCGAUAUGUC